rnacentral:rRNA from 1 species
GGAGAGGAGCGAGGCAAACGGUGGAGAGUGGGGGUGAAUUGAGGAAAUGUGAAAAGCCUUACCCACAUUUGACAAGUACGGAAUAAGCCAGAGAUGGCUUAGAGCUCGAAAGAGAACCGUAACACAAGUGCUGCAUGGCUGUCGUCAGCUCGUGUCGUGAGAAUGUUGGGUUAAGUCCCGCAACGAGCGCAACCCUUGUCAUUAGUUGCUACAUUCAGUUGGGCACUCUAAUGAGACUGCCGGUGACAAACCGGAGGAAGGUGGGGAUGACGUCAAGUCCUCAUGGCCCUUAUAGGUGGGGCUACACACGUCAUACAAUGGCUGGUACAAAGGGUUGCCAACCCGCGAGGGGGAGCUAAUCCCAUAAAACCAGUCGUAGUCCGGAUCGCAGUCUGCAACUCGACUGCGUGAAGUCGGAAUCGCUAGUAAUCGUGGAUCAGAAUGUCACGGUGAAUACGUUCCCGGGUCUUGUACACACCGCCCGUCACACCAUGGGAGCGGGUUCUGCCAGAAGUAGUUAGCCUAACCGCAAGGAGGGCGAUACCACGGCAGGGGGGGCGAAACUGU